rnacentral:tRNA from 1 species
AAUUAUAUAGUAUAAAAAGUAUAUUUAAUUUCCAAUUAAAAGGUUUAUUCAUUAAUAUAAUUA